CAAGGAAUUUUCCCCAAUGGGCGCAAGCCUGAGGGAGCAACGUCGCGUGCAGGAUGACGGCCUUCGGGUUGUAAACUGCUUUUGGGGGGGAAGAUGAUGACGGUACCCCCCGAAUAAGCCCCGGCUAACUCCGUGCCAGCAGCCGCGGUAAGACGGAGGGGGCAAGCGUUGUCCGGAAUCACUGGGCGUAAAGAGCACGUAGGUGGUCUGAUGCGUCGGCGCUGAAAACUCCAGGCUCAACCUGGAGACGCGUGCCGAUACGAUCAGGCUAGAGGCAGGGAGAGGGUAGCGGAAUUCCGGGUGUAGUGGUGAAAUGCGUAGAUAUCCGGAGGAACGCCAGAAGCGCAAGCGGCUACCUGGUCCUGACCUGACACUGAGGUGCGAAAGCGUGGGGAGCGAACCGG
rnacentral:rRNA from 1 species